rnacentral:rRNA from 1 species
UGGGGAAUCUUGCGCAAUGGUCGAAAGACUGACGCAGCGACGCCGCGUGCGGGAGGAAGCUCUUCGGGGUGUAAACCGCUGUUGCCCGGGACGAAUGCCGCUUUCGAGCGGAGUGACGGUACCGGGUGAGGAAGCGCCGGCUAACUCUGUGCCAGCAGCCGCGGUAAUACGGAGGGCGCGAGCGUUGUCCGGAAUCACUGGGCGUAAAGGGCGCGUAGGUGGCGGCAUAAGGCUGUGGUGAAAGUCCGGGGCUCAACUCCGGAUCGGCCGUGGCAACUGUGUCGCUAGGGCACCGUAGAGGCAGAUGGAAUUCCGGGUGUAGCGGUGGAAUGCGUAGAGAUCCGGAAGAACACCAGUGGCGAAGGCGGUCUGCUGGGCGGUGGGAGCGCAAGCUCCUUUUGAGCCGACACUGAGGCGCGACAGCGUGGGGAGCAAACAGGAUUAGAUACCCUGGUAGUCCACGCCGUAAACGAUGGGCACUAGGUGCUCUGGGGAGCGACCCCCGGGGUACCGACGCUAACGCAUGAAGUGCCCCGCCUGGGGAGUACGGCCGCAAGGCUGA